rnacentral:rRNA from 1 species
AUUGAACGCUGGCGGCAGGCCUAACACAUGCAAGUCGAACGAAUGGCGGACGGGUGAGUAAUGUCUGGGAAACUGCCUGAUGGAGGGGGAUAACUACUGGAAACGGUAGCUAAUACCGCAUACCAUCGGAUGUGCCCAUAUGGGAUUAGCUAGUAGGUGGGGUAAAGGCUCACCUAGGCGCCUAUGCCUAGCUGGUAUGAGAGGAUGACCCGUCACCCUUGAACUGCGACAUCGUCCUGACUCCUACAGGAGGCAGCCGUGGAGAAUCUUGCACAAUGGGAGCAAGCCUGAUACAACCAUGCAGCGUGUAUGAAGAAGGCCUUCGGGUUGUAAAGUACUUUCAGCGGGGAGGCGUUACCCGAAGAAGAAGCACCGGAUAACUCCGUGCCAGCAGCCGCGGUAAUUC